GAGGUGGACGUAGGGUACUCCUCUGCCCUUUCUGCAUUAUUGUGCUUCGUUUAAUUGAAUUUAGUACUAUUUGAUAAAUUGAAGUGAUGAGUGAAAACUUUUAUUUUUUAUUUUUUUUUAUUUUUUUAUGGAGCUGUAGAGGUUUGGGAAUAUUGGUGGUUUAUUUCAAGUAAUGUCGGUGGCAAUUCGGGCGUUGGAUAAGCAAGAUGUUGAUCCCCCUUACAUGACAAAACUCGCUAAGAUUGCCACUGCUGAAAUGAUCACUUCCAAGGUGCAGAUGAAACUUAUGUUCUGUUUUUGCAAGUAUUUCUGCUGGAAGGUUCCUUUUGACGCACUAUUAUUGCUAUUAUUGCUUUACAUCUUUAAGGAAUUUCAAGCUGAUUGGCAAAGAGCUGCAGCUGGUGUUCUUGUAGCAAUAGGUUUGCAUCUGCCUGACCUUGUAAGUUGUUCGUUUUUGUUUCGGCGUUAGGUGCGAUAAUACACAUGUAUCCUGCUGCUUUUCCAUCUUUUGUGGUUUUUUUGCACAAAAGUACCUUCUUGUAGUUUUUAUGAACCUCUGUUUAGUGAAUAUUCUGAUACAACCUUAACAGGAAAAAGGAGGUUAGAAUUUUUAAAGAGUUUCAAACUACGUUAAAGCUAAGUUGGGCAUGUAGGCAGAUUUAGUAUCAAUGGCCAUAUUGAAUAAAGAUUGGUGAAGGAGAAUUCUUACUAAUUUUUAUUUUUUCUUCUCAAGUUUGGGAAAUAUGCAUGCGAUCAGGCACGUUUUCCUGCUAAAUGCUUUCAUCUGUUUUUCUUGCUUCCUCACUUUAAGUCAAUUAAGAUGCAUCACCUGCAUGUACCAUUCUGAUGUUCAGCAUGAGCAAAAAAGUUCUGCCAUCCCAUGUAUUGAUUUAUCCUGCAACCUAUAAUUGCAAACACAAUCCAUGUUGGGUUGGUAUUAGCUGCUUGCAUCUCUUAAAGACAAUAGUUGUAAUAUGGGGAAAAGAAGCAUUAACUGCUUUUGGUUGAAGCACUCAUUUGGAUGGCAAUGGGAUGCUAAAGUUUUUACCAAAUGGUUUUGCUUAAAGAUAGCUAUGUAAACAGUUGGUGACUUUCAACUUCAGUGCUAACAAAUUGCUCUUUUAUAGUUUCUCUAAUAUCCAUCAUCAAGCUGGGAUAACCUGUUACUGAAUUUGGUCUAGGUGAGCUUCACUGAUGUUCACCUGAACUUCAGUAAUGUUAGAAUUUCAGCUAAAUCUGUUCCUGAUACUAGAAAUAUAAUUGGGACAUGCAAUCACUGACAUGCAGACAUGUAUAUGUUUUGUACAUAUGCAAAGAAUAUUCUUAAGACUUAAGCCACCCUUGUUAUUUUCUUUUACAUCUUUCCCCAUCAAAUCUUUUUUUAGAACCUAGUGUGGAAGCUUGUUAAUUUCAUAUCUGUAAGAUGAAUUAGUUGAAUGUGCUUACAUGUACAGUGUAUUUUAUUGUGUUGUGUAGAGUUGUUCUUCAGGUGCUGGUGUCCAAUAUAUCCAUUUGUGGAUAUUCUUUUGGGUGUCCAUGGGCAGGGUGAAUAGAUGAUGUUCGCAUUCUAUCUUGUGAUUUAUCGUUAGGGUGGAUUAAGAAGUCGGAGACUGUUAAUUUCUUUUUAAAAUUUUUAAAUAUAUUGUGGAAAGCUAUAUGCUUGACCUUAUUUGGUUUAAUUCAGCCUUUUUUGUAUCUGCAUUUCCUGGGGAAGCAGGUUGAACUUUUCUUGUUCUGCAGAUGAUGGAAGAAGUAUUCCUUCAUCUCUCUGGGUCAAGUUCAUCUAUGCCUGCAAUGGUUCAAGUACUGGCUGACUUUGCUUCAUUUGAUGGUACAUUGUCUGAUGAGAUAUAUUCACUUCUAUUUCUUCUUUUGAUUAGCUUUUGGCUGGGUUGUUUAAACUGACGACCAUGAUUUAUUCUACAUUUAUUGUUGAAGCUUUACAGUUCACUCCAAGACUUAAAGUUGUCCUUGCACGAGUUUUGCCCAUUCUGGGCAAUGUGAGGGAUAUUAACAGGCCAAUCUUUGCAAAUGGUAUGUUGAUCCUGUUUUACAGCACUUGAAAUACAUAGAUGAUUUUCUGUUUAAUGUCUUCCUUUUCUUACAUAAAAAAUUAUAUCGCCUUGCUGUCUUCCUCUGCAUAACCUUGAACAAGCUGUUCCUUUUACAGCAUUUAAGUGUUGGUGCCAGGCCUGUUGGCUGUAUAGUGUGGAUUAUCCUCUCUUCUCCAUUCUUGAUGCUGAUGUCACGUAAGAUCAGUUUGCUUGCGUUUGGUUCUUUCAUGAUCUUUUGCCUUUUUCUUGCUGUUUUCAGUGAUAGAAAUGUGUACUGUAGGGCAGGUCUUUCCUUAAUUCUGCUUUCGAACUUCUAUUGAGAGUUUGGGCAUCAUCACGAGAUCUCAAGGUUUGCAAGUACUCAUGUCCUUAUGAUAUUGUGGUUUCUAUUCAGCAUGAUGGGCCAUGGCUUCCUGACAUCAUUUAUGUUUAUCUGAUAUUAAGUAUGGUUUGAACUAAUAUUUCCUCUAUUGCUGGUUAAAUUUCACAGGCCUGUAAUUGACUUUGUUAUGUAAAACUAUGAUAAGCAACUGCUUUGUUUAGUUUUGUGACAUAUAAUAAGUGAAAUUGGAGUUUCAUUUGCAUAGUUGAUGCUUACAUUUUCUCGAAUUUAUUCAAGAUACUAAUUUUUUUUUUUUUGCAAAAAAUGCUUGCUGCUCUUCUCUCUCUCUCUCUGGUGAAUUCCUUUAAAAAAAUUUUCUUUUUUUUGGUCCUUGAAAAUGCUUUAGUUUCUCAAGGUGUGGGAAUUUUGUCAAUUUUAUGUGUCAAUAAGCAAAUAAAGUUUCUUUCUCGUGAUGUAUGUCUGCUGUUUCUGCAGGUCAGGAGUACUACCAUUGAAGCAUUAGGUCAGAUGGUUGGUCUUAUAACCCGGGCACAGUUGAAGAUGGCUUUACCAAGACUUGUUCCAACUAUUUUAGACAUGUAAGUUGUAUUUUGAAUUCUGAGAAACAGAAGUUGAUACUUACAAUAGUCUUAGAUGUAGUUCAUCUGGUGAACCUGCAUUGCAUCUUUUUUCAUGGAGUUUUCAGUCAUCCACAAAUGGGGACUCUUGCACUUGGAGUAUGAGUUGUGUCUCUCUAUUUCACAUGAAGAGCUUUUUAAUAAAACCCAUCUUUUUUGUAAAAUUCAGGUAUAAGAAAGAUCAGGAGAGUGCCUUAGUGGCCACUUGUACGCUCCAUAAUCUUCUAAAUGCUUCAUUACUUUCUGAAAGUGGUCCGCCUUUGCUUGAUUUUGAGGUUAGUCAUUUUAAAUAUGCUGCUUGAUUUUGAGGUUAGUUAUUUCAAAUCUGCUGCUCUGUAGAAAACUUGAUAAAUUGGUUUGGCAUGAAGGUUGAAAUAUAAUGUCUUGCUUGCUAUAUCUUCAGCCUACUUAUGACAUUUUUUGGCUUUCUUAAAAGGGAAGAAAAUUUCCUAAUUUGACUACUUUAUGGUUUAUCUGAACUCUGUCAGCUUCAGUUUUCUCAUAGUUUGAGAUCCCUUCUUUGUUAGAAUUCCAUUUAUCUGUAACGAAUAAUUUUUUUCCUUCUUUCUAUGCUUGACACUGGAUGUGUUCACUUUAAUCUAGGACUGUCUCUCAAGUGUAAGGUUUUAGGAUGUCAAGAGUUGGAAUAGGAAAAGGGAGUAUUGGAGAAAUUUUUGCUAUAACUCAUCUGGCUUCUGAUAUUCUUCUCCUGAUUCUUCAGUUAGAAGUUAGAAUAUUUCAUAUGUUAGAUUGCAAUCUGGUGGCUCUUGCAUAGUUGUGCAUGUUGGAUUUUGUGCUUUGUUUCUCCUGCAACACAGACAAUAUCUUCUAUUUUUCAUGUUCAUAUUGGAAUUUCACUUUGGAAGUGUUAAUGAAAAGAUCCUUCUUCUUUUUCACUGCUUAAUUUUUCAUUUUUCAAAUUUUUUUAUGUUUCUGGGUGUUACCUUGAAUGAGGUGCAAAUUUGGUGAGUUAAUAUUGUCAAGCUUUGAAACUGACAUGAUAUUGGGUAACAGCGUAGAAGUAUGAAGUGUACCAGUCAGUUCAUUCUCUUCUGAAUUCACUUUUAGAGACUAGAAAUUCAUCCUGUCCUGUGCAGUUUUGAAUAUGAAGGAGAAUUUCAGUUUUCUGUUGAAUUGAUUGGUUAACGUCAAGCAUGCUGCCUACUUAUGCAGGAAAAUGUUCUAAACAUGAUCAUUUAUAAUCCAUAUCUUGCAAUUAUCUCAUUGACUUCAGUUGUGGGAUUUGAUGGGACUCUAAUGAAAGGCUGAUGACUUGAUACUGAGUGAUACAAUCGAUAGCAUCAUGACCUAGUGGUGAUGUGACUAUAAUGAGCAUAUGUUUUAAUAGCUACUUUAUGUGAUGUUUGCAGGACAUCACUGUUAUAUUAUCAACACUUCUUCCGGUGGUUUGCAUCAGCAAUGACAGCAAAGAGCUUUCAGACUUCUCUGUGGGACUGAAGGUAUUGCUUUACUAUUGUUCUUUUUCAGUAUUGUUAGAUGCAUGUAUUGCAAGAGAUUAUUAAGUCAAUUGAUUUUUGUGGUAGAAAUUUGACCUUUGCUUUGUAUUGAAGUUCCCUUAGAUUCUUUUCGGGGUUACUUGUUAAUCAUAUUUUAUUUACAUGAAGUGGUAAAAAGGAUGAAAAUAACUUUCAAGGCCUUCAAGUACAGUUUAGCAGACGGCUCUUUGUCCAAGACCAAUAGAGGGAGAGAGAGAGAGAGUCAAAACUGACUUACCUUGGAUUAGCAAAAGCUUACUACUUUAUCUUUCCUCAUAGUUUUAGCUCUACCUUUUCCUUGUCAAGAAAAAGUCAGAUUUUCAAGGCCAGGAUCCUUUUGCUAUCAUCUUACGUCUUUGAUAUUAUAUUCUGAGAGGAACUUCAGGGCUGGGUCCCUUUUUCAUUUCCUUUUCUGCAAUAUCACAUUUGACCCUCCAUUACAGCUCGAUAAGGCUCGUUAGAGCUCAGCUCGAUAAGGCUCGAGCUAGGCUCGUUAGUUGCGGUAAACGAGCCGAGCUUGAGCUAGAAAUGUGCUCGUUUAGUUAACGAGCCGAGUAAGCUCGGCUCGUUUGAUAUCCGACUAGCUCGUUAGAGCUCGUUAAUAAAGGGCAUAUUUGUCAUUUUAGAAGUCAAAAGUAUAAAAAUUGAAAAUUAUAGAUUUUAUUGAGGUUAAUUUGCACGAGCUCGAGCUCGUACAAGCUCAACUCGUUUGUGAUAAACGAGUCAAGCUCGAGCUCGAGCUUGAGCCAUAUGUACAUUUGACGAUCCGAGUUCGAACACAUUUUAAAGCUCUUUGCCUAACGAGCUCGACUUAAACUCGAAUUAAAGCUCAUUUUAGAGCUCGAAUUAAACUCGAGUCGAGCUCGGCAGCCAAAUACUUGGCUCGACUUGGCUCGAUUAACAGCUCUAGGUGUACAGAAAGAGAGAGAAAAUAUUUGUUUACAUAUGAUAGGUUUCCAAGGUCUCAUCUAAAUGAAGCAUGUAUUUUAACUCUUAGUGAAUUAAUGAUGGAUUACAUCAUCUAAAACUAGGCAUAGAAGGAAAAUAUCCUUGGAGUUUUAGUUGAACAUUAAAGAGUCUUUACGUGCCAGUGGCUGUGCUGUUGCGCUUGUUAAUUCUUUUGAUCUGUUGCUUCUGUCUUAUAAUCAUUGGGCUAGAUAGGUAGGUUCUAAAGAGUCUGUUGGGCUCCAUGGAUUUUUUGUGCCUUUUCUACAUCUGAUCUCUUUGAUUUUAUUAAUUUUAAUUUUUCUCCUUUUGAAUGUCAGACUUAUAAUGAAGUUCAGCAUUGUUUUUUAGCAGUGGGGUUGAUGUAUCCUGAGGAUUUAUUCAUGUUCCUACUCAAUGUGGGUAUUUAUCCUGGUUUAUGCAUUUUUGUUCACUAAGUUUAUUAUAAAGAAAUGAUUUCCUCCUCUUGCAAUGAAUUAGAUAAUGGAAAUCUAGUGCCAAGCAAAUGUUCUGGUUAUAAGUGUUCUGAAUCAUUUCAUAAAUUUGCUAGUUGUCACCAGAAAUGCAGGUUGAAAGAAGAACCUUUGACUUUUGGUGCACUGUGUGUCCUAAAGCAUCUCUUGCCGAGGUUUCUUCUUCUUCAUGAGUUGAACACGGUCCUGACUGUAUUUUGUCACCUGAUGAUCUUAGUCCAAUUUAUUUGAAGGUUAUCUGAAGCUUGGCAUGGUAAAAGGCCUUCACUGGUUGAAGCUGUUAAGCUGUUAUUGGAUGAGCAUAGUCUGGGUGCCCGUAAAGCGCUUGCAGAGGUUAGAUAUCUUGCUUUGACAAAAUGUCUUUUGAUAAAUAGAGCAGAUGAUUGUCAGCUUUUAACUUCUUUCUGGUUUUUGAUUGUGUUGCUCUGUGAUAGUUAAUUGUUGUUAUGGCUUCUCAUUGUUACUUGAUUGGACAACCGGGAGAGCUAUUUGUUGAAUUUUUGGUACGGAAUUGUUCAAUUGAAGAUGCUGUGAAUCCUAAGGAAGUUGUUAGACGAAGUGGCACUCAUUAUGCUUUUCCAUACAAGAAGUUAGAGGUUUGCGAUCUUACUUCAAAAUUUUCUUUGUUUUUAUAGAGUUUUGUAUUACUCGCAAUUUAGGUUGAAUUCAUCAUCUUAUCAGUAGUUUGAAUUAGCAUACCGAAUUCUCUAUCAUCCUUCUGAAAGGAAUCAGACGAGUCUAGUGGUUUUUGGCAUGGCCUAGAAUGCAAUUUUCAUUGGUACUGCAUUUAAGCGCGUGCAUGUGAUGCAGCAUCUUGGCUGUUUCCUCUGCAUGUUGAAGUCAUUAUAUACAUCAAAACUCUUUGUAGUUAAUGCGCUCAAAAUUUUCAGGUGAAAGCUGGAGCUUUUAGUCCCACUGAGUUACGGGCAAUCUGUGAAAAGGGUCUUCUUCUGAUCACCAUUACUAUUCCCGAGAUGGAGGUACCGUAUAUUAAGUUAUUGAUUAGUACACAGUUUUCAUCUUUUUGGUGUGCUGUGGUUUAUUGUCUCUCUUGCUUGAAGCUAGAUUUUUCUUUCUUUCAGUUGGUGAUUUAAUUUAGAGGAUUUAUCUUUCUGUUUGUGAUAAAUGCAGCUUGUUCUCUGGCCAUUUUUGCUGAAGAUGAUUAUACCACGAGUCUACACAGAUGCAGUUGCCACGGUAAAAUGUAUCCUGGUCUUCAUCUGAUUUUCAUGAUAAAGUAGGGAAUCCUGUUAAUGUACAAACCCUUUCUGUUCCUUUAAGUGCCUCCCAAAAGUUGCUUUUCUUGCUUUAUAUCAUCCUGUAUUUUGUGCCGAUGACUUCAGUUUUGUCUCGCUUUAGUAACAUGUAAUCAAGCUGUUUAAAGUUUACAGCUAGUUGCUGUAAUGUUUGUGUAAGCUCACCUCACGUUAACAGGUUUGCAGAUGCAUCUCAGAAUUUUGCAGACGUAGAUCUUCUCAGAGUAAUAGUAUGCUAUCUGAGUGUAAUGCUCGAACUGAUAUUCCGCAUCCUGAGGUAGAAUCAUUUUCUUGGGCAAUUACUGUCUGUUUACAUAUAAUGUCCUCUUCACUUGAAGAAGAAGUGUGAAAUUAAUAUGCAUAUCCAGGAGCUUUUUGCCCGUCUAUUGGUGCUUCUACACAAUCCUUUAGCAAGGGAGCAGCUGGCAACUCAAAUCUUGAUGGUGAGUUUCUUUGCUCUGGUGGUGGGAGACUAUGUACUGUGAUAAUGCGCCUGUAGAAGCCCUAUAUUCUACACUAUCAUAAUGAUGUAUGCUGCAUUUUGGGAAUGCCAAUUUCUUCUCUGCUAAUCUUUUCAAAGGGGGUUAAGAUGUUUGAGGAGAAGAAAUCAUUGGUUUCUUCUGAAUCCCUUCUCCUCUCCCUUGUUUUGUAGGUCCUGUAUCAUUUGGCUCCUCUCUUUCCAAAGAAUGUUAGCUUGUUUUGGCAAGAUGAGGUAUACUAUGAAGUAUAUGUGUAAGCUUAUCUUUUUGAUGUUCUUCCCAAUAUCUGUCUCUCUUGCUCUCUCUCUCUCUCUCUCUCUCUCUCUCUCUCUCUCUCUCUCUCUCUCUCUCGCUUGCUCACUCUCUUGCACACACAUUUAACUCAGUAUGACAUCCUUUUUCAUUGAGAAAGUAUAGAAGAAUCUGAUUCUUGAAACUAUUUUGAUACUACUGAACCAAAGCUGUUGACAUGAGAUCUGGUAUUGAUAUUUGUUUUGACAUUUGGUUUAUGGCACUAUGAUUUAGGAUAAUAGAAGUGUGUGAGCAAGUGAAAAGUGCAUUGCUUGGUAUAUCUUUAGAUGAGAUUUUGCUGGAGAAGCAUGAAUUAGAAUUAUGUUAAACUGCAUUCUCCCAAACAUUUUUAAGCAUCAAAAGGUGCCUUUAAAUAAAGGAGAAGACUGCAAUUUGUCAAACAGUACAUUAUUAUUUUCCUUUGUACUAAACUAGUACUUCUGUAUGUUGUUAAUAUAAACCAAAAUAUCUUUUCUUACAUUCUAACUGGUUGUCUUGUUUGGUAAGCUCUAGAUUCCGAAAAUGAAAGCAUAUGUGGGUGAUACAGAUGAUCUGAAGGAAGACCCAUUCUAUCAAGAGACCUGGGAUGACAUGAUUAUCAACGUAAGCUUUGCUGAACUUUCUUGCAUGACUAGUUUCUGUUGAAGCAUGAUGUGGAUUACUUCCAAUCAUGCUAUAUAUUAAUAUAUCUAUCUAAUUUUUGCAAGGACUCUUUACAAUUCGUAGCUGGCCCUUUCCCUCAUUUUCUAUGACAGAAUAGCAUAAUUGUCUUAUCUUCCUCAACCUCUUACUUAUACAGAAGGUGUAUUUGCAUUUUUAGAGGCAAAGUAGAUGGAAAGCUUUGGUUAGGGCCUCUUAAGGAUUAUGAAUGACGCUAAUGACAGGAGUGAUGCCUUCUGGCAUGUUUGAAUUCUUUUUGUUUGUCUGACAGUUUCUUGCAGAAUCUUUGGAUGUAAUUCAAGACAUUGAUUGGGUAAUUUCUCUGGGAAAUGCUUUUGCUAAACAAUAUGAACUUUAUACAUCUGAGGAUGAACACUCUGCCCUGCUUCAUAGGUAAUGUGCUUUUUCAUCUUCUCCUAAUGAAUUUUUCUGAUGGAUUUAUGAAAUAUUGUGGGGGUAAUAUUUUUGUACUCCCCAAAGCAAGAAAACUCUAAAGAAAUGAAGGAUAGUUUAUACAAUUAAAGUAUUCUUGUAUUGUAUUCAUUUAUUCAGUGAAUCAGUAUGUUAUGUUGUUCAUGUGCUAAUUUUCAUAAGCUUGUCCUAUUUCUUGGUUGCUCAUAUGUCCUUUUGAGAACUCACCACUUGUUUCAUGUUGGAGAGUGCGUCCAUGCUUUUUCGUAUUUUGAUCAUUAAUGUAAAUCUUUCUCUUGUCAGUCCUUUUUGUGCAUUAUAUAUUGUUAUUUAUAGACAUACUGAGAUUUUACAAUCAAGAUUAAGAAUGGUGGUUAAUUGCCACUACAUGCUUCAGAGAUAAAUUCAGGGCUUGCUUUUCUUUUCUGGUGCAGGUGUCUGGGCAUUUUGCUGCAAAAAGUUCAUGACAGAACGUAUGUUUGUGCUAAGAUUGAUUUGAUGUACAAGCAAGCUAAUAUUUCUUUCCCAAAGAAUAGACUUGGUUUGGCAAAGGCCAUGGGAUUGGUAAUUGCUUGCAGAAUUAGAAAAUUAGCUCUUCUACUCAGUUUGGACUUAUUAGUGUGGAUGGCAAAUAAUUUGUCAUGUUUUUAUUUUUUGUUGUCAAUUUGAGGUUAACUGCAAUAGUGUUUGAUAGGUUGCAGCAUCACACUUGGAUACCGUCUUGGAAAAGCUCAAAGACAUUCUUGAUAAUGUUGGCCAAAGUUUCUUUCAAAGGUAGAUCCUGGAUAUCAUGCUUUGUUUAGCUGUUUAAGUUUGGCUUUUGACGUAUUUAUCUCUUUACUUGCAUAACUUCCUCUGGUGUCUUUCGGAUAUUCUGUUAUGAUCAUAUGUUUACCCUAAUUGUUAUUUGGAUGGGAGAAGUUUCAAUUUUGAUACGCUGCUGAUAAAACAAUACCUGGAUCGUGCUCCUUUCAAUGUAAAGUUUUCUGGGAGUUCAGCAUUUCCUAGUAAUGGGUGAAAGUUUUCUCUUUGAUUCCAAUACUUUGACGGGCAUCGUUGAUACUUGAAUUCCUGAAGUCUUACCUGCUUCUUACAAGAAUAAAACAAUCAUUUUUGGAUUUUGUCUUAAGAUAUAGCUGCAUGUAGCUUAUUGUACUAAUUUGUCUCAUAUCUGGUGCCAUCUUGCAUAUCUCUCUUUAUAUGUGCUUCUAUCUGGUGUCAUCUCUUAUCUCUGUGUAUGUAUAUCUAUGGGCAUUCAUUGAAGUAUAUUAAACUAUAUAGGAUGGGUCUGUUGCAGGAUCCUGUCAUUUUUCUCUGACAGAGCUAAAAUGGAAGAGUCAGAUGAUAUACAUGCUGCUUUGGCACUAAUGUAUGGCUAUGCUGCAAAAUAUGCACCAACAACAGUUAUUGAAGCAAGAAUUGAUGCGCUAGUGGUGAGCCUCCUGUUUUGGGAGUUUGACUUGAUCGGCUAAGCCUUUGGAUGCCACUCAUGCAUUGCUUUGUUCAAUCUUCUCGUAGUUAAUGUACUUUUGAUUCUAGAAAUGUGUACUUGGUAAAAGAUGCAUCCAAUUUGAAAUUUGAGGAAAUUUAACCAAUAUGUUGUGUUAAGGGAAAUUAGAAGUUUGAUUUUUAAUAAAAUAUUUACGAGUGUUAUAGUUUGACGAUUAGAAAAACGAAAAGGAUAAUCAAUGUAAAUCCAGGUUCUUAUACCCAAAGGCCUAUCCUUCUAAUUUUCAGGAAUGUUUUUUCUUCUGAGCAAUUUAGUGAUGUUUGUUGAACCCUAACUAAUUUUUGGUAUCAUUGUUGGAGAGGUUGUCUACCAAGGUAUUACAUUCAUACGGUUGUUAGAGAGAAUCCAUUUCAUGGGCUGAUACUGUGUCACCUAUUCAAAUUCUUUUGUUUCCAUGUUUGCUAUUCUGUAUCUCAAUUCUUACCUUGAUGAUAAGCAAAUUUUGUUGCAUAUUUAUUUGCGUGUUUGUAAAACAAUAAUGCAAAUUUGUGUUCCAUGAACUUAGAUUUUUAAGUUUGGUUGCUGUCAGAAAUUGGCCCAUUUCAAUGCCUGGAUGGGAAUUGGGAAAAGGUCCCCUUCAUUGUUGAAUAAUCCUUAUACAUAUCAGAAAUUUCCCAAAACUUAUGAGAAACAAGCGUUCACCAUUUCAGAAUGUCAGAAGAUCUUAUAAUGCUAUUGCACUUAUUUAUGAUAUUACUUCAAUUUCAUCCUUCCAAGAAAGACUUCUGUGUCUAUGUAUGCCUGUUUACUGAAAGAUGACAAAAAUCAAGAAAUAUAACAUAGGGAGUAAUCCUAUUCUAAUCUUUUUCUCCUGCUUAUUGGUGCAUUUUUCAUUAGUUAGAACAGUACUUUAUUAUGUUUUUCCUUGUUUUCACUGAUUUAGUAUUGUACAGUGUGAGGCUGUUUUGGGGAAAAAAAGAGAGUAGAUUCUAAGAGAACCUAGUGUUGCUGCUUGUUACAUUGUAAAGGGCUAUCCAAAAUAGUAAUAAACCUUGUAAAGGACUAUGCUGAAAUUGAUCAGGUUGUGACUGAUAGUGGUGAGAUAUUACUAAAGGAUAUUCUCCAAGCAUCUGUAAUGUUAUUAUAUCCCCAUCAGCUUCCUUGGUGUGAAUCACGUUAUAUGCAUUUGUGUCAAACAAAAGUAUUGAAGGAUUCAAUUCAACUGGUGUAUUCUCCCAUCACUAAGCAUGUUGCCUUCGGUGUCAUACCAGAAAGUAUCAAUUUUUUUUUCGCAAUGUGCAAUUUGCGGAGGCUUUUGCUUUUGUGUGACUUCUUAUUGAAUUAUUAAGACAUUCUGACAGAACAUAAUGGCAAGAUACCAUACUUCCAUUUCAGCUUGUGUAAUUUUGGCACAUUAGUUGUUUUACGACUCACAUGGAGUUUCUAAAUUGUUUCAGAUGUUACUGGAAAAAGUUUUUCCUUUUGAAUGUACGAAUUUUCCUGUUCAAAUUGAUUAUGACUGGUUUUUAAUGCAAUUUUUCUUUUUUGUGUUUGCUUCACCUUGCAUCUUUCUGCAUUGGCAUUUGAUUGAAUAUACUUGUUGAUUGUUAACAGGGGACUAAUAUGCUUUCACGUCUUCUCCAUGUACGCCAUCCGAUUGCAAAACAGGCUGUUAUUACUGCUAUUAAUUUACUGGGUUGGUACUCUCUAUGACUUAGGCAUUUGAUUUUUCUUCCUUGUAGUUCUUCCUUUUGGGCUGCCCGGCAUUGAAUAUGCUGUCAUUUUAAUGUUUCUAAAGAUGCUGUUCAUUCUUCACUUUCUCAAGUUUUCAGAUUCUUCUCUUUUAAUGAGUUAGUAACUCAUCAAACUCAUGCACAUAAUUUAUUUAUUUUUUACCUCCUUUGGUUUGAUUUAGAAACCUUUUUUUAGUGUUCUGGUAUUUAUCUAUGUGAACUGAUUCAAAUACUAACUGGAAUCAUUAGAAGCUGAUCUGAAGUGGUAUUGGAAUCUUUUUUGAAGUACAUGGACUGAUAAAUCGUCUCUUUAAAUUCUGAGACCCCCUGUUUGUUGCCCUCUCUGUGGGUUCACCUUUGGAAUUAUUUGAUGCCCCAUUAUGUCACUAAUCAUGCUCGUGUUCUACAUUGUAGUUGAUGCUUAGAGACUUUCUACUAUUCUAUUCAUGUGCAAUCUCCCUUGGAUUUCAUGGCUAAAAGUCUGAAAUAUAAUUCCUGGUGCAGGUCAGGCUGUCUACAGUGCUUCUCAAUGUGGUACAUCCUUUCCACUGAAAAGAAGAGACCAAUUACUUGACUAUAUAUUAACUCUGAUGGGCCGAGAUGGUGAAGAUGAUUUUUUUGAUUCUACUCGUGAACUUUUAUGUACUCAGGUUUCUAUGUUAUAAUGAAUCUGUACAAAAUUUGUGUCCAGUAUGAGUUUGUUCACAGGCUUAUUUUGCCUUGGCCUGCCUGUUUUGAAUCAGCAUAAUCUCUAAUUUGGAUUCUUCUAUGCAGUCUCUUACUUUAAGUGCUUGUACUACGCUGGUUUCAGUGGAGCCAAAGCUCACAACUGAAACAAGAAAUCUUGUUUUGAAGGUGCACAUCAUUAUUGUUCAUCAUUCAUAAAAAUAGUUUCAGAUCUUGCCGUCUGAUCCUGUUCAUUUUAUCUGGCAGGCCACCCUAGGAUUUUUUGGUUUACCAAAUGAUCCUUCUGAUGUUGUCAACCCCCUAAUUGACAAUCUUAUUACUCUCUUGUGUACGAUUCUUGUUACGGGGUAUUCUUUUUUGCCUAUUAGCUUUUUCCAAUUCAUUCUUCAUUUCUGUCUUAUUAAUAGUGUCAUUUUCGGAAUCCAUAUCUAGUUGUCUUUUAGUGGAUAUUGGAACUUAUAGUGUACACACACACACGCUCAUCUUUUUCUGUGUUUUACACCCUGCUUUAUUGUUUCACUUGAUGGUGUUGUGGCAAUUUUGUGAAAUAUAUGACAGAUGGUACUGAAUACGAUUUUCUUCAGAUCAUUUACAGGAGACUGAUCUCUUUUUUCCCCCCUGCUCUUCUAGAAUGACAACAUUGUUGACUUGCAUUCUUUGGUUGAGAAUGGAUAUAAAUGUCUUUCAUAAUAUCAUAACUAAUUUGAUGAGUACUUCUGUCACUGUUAGUGGAGAGGAUGGAAGAAGUCGAGCAGAGCAGCUCUUGCAUAUUUUGAGACAACUUGAUCCCUAUGUUUCCUCGGCAGUGGAAUAUCAGAGGGAAAGAGGAUGUCGUGCUGCUCAUGAGAUGCUUCACAAGUUUCGGACACUAUGUAUUAGUGGAUAUUGUGCAUUUGGCUGCCGAGGAAGUUGCACACAUGGCAAGCAUGUUGAUCCUGUUGUACACCGGAAUUAUUCUAAUUUACCAUGUAAGACUGUAUCCAUGUGCCUUUUCUUCCUCUGUAUAUGUGUUGUUUAGUACUGUUAUGACCAGUUUUAUUGGUUGCCUUUCUACCAUCAGCUGCUUUUGUGCUGCCAAGUCGUGAUGCACUGUCUUUAGGGGAGAGAAUCAUGGUUUAUCUUCCUCGUUGUGCGGAUACAAUUCCUGAAGUUAGAAAGCUUUCUGCACAGGUCAGUAGUGUGAUAGAGUUUUAUAUUGUUUGAGUUAGCUUGAUGUUUCCAGUUUAUGAUUGCUGAACUUAAAGAUUGGUUUGUACGUAUGAGUAUGCCAUAAUUGUUGCAUCAGUCCCUUCCUUCUCUUCCUUCAUCUUCUCUCUGCAUUUGCUUAUCCUCUUUUUACUUUCUUCUGAUUUUUGUCUUAUUUUUUCCUACCUGUAGAUUCUUGAUCUGUUUUUCAGUAUAUCUCUGUCUCUGCCGAGGCCUGUGAAUUCCAAUUUGGGGUUGGAUUUAGAACUGUCUUAUAGUGCUUUGACGUCACUUGAGGAUGUUAUAGCUAUCCUAAGAAGUGUAAGUCUGUUUACUAUCCUCUCUAUUAAAUUUCCAUUUUUAUUAUUAAAACAUGUUAUUUAUUUUAAUUCCUUUUGAUUUAUUGAUGAAGUAAUUCCUUUUUAUUUUCUUGUCAAAUAUAUAUUUGUACUUCAGGAUGCUUCUAUUGAUCCUUCGGAAGUAUUCAACCGGGUUGUUUGCUCUGUUAGCAUCUUGUUGACUAAAGAUGAGGUAAUAGUCUUAUGCAAGAUUUUGGUUGUGUUCUCUAUACACUAAUCUUUUUGAUAAUUCUGGUGGAUUUGUAUUGAAUUGGAUGAAGAAUUUAUCAAGCCUCCAAGCAACACCUAACAAAAUUUUACAGCUUGCUGCUGCCUUGCAUGGUUGCUCGACAGCCAUAUGUGACAAGGUGAAGCAAUCUGCAGAGAGUGGAAUCCAAGCUGUAGUUGAGUUUAUCACCAAGAGGGGGAAUGAGUUGAAUGAGACUGAUAUCUCAAGGUCCUUCCAACAUGAAUUACUUGUAGUUUUAGAUGAUUUCCGACAAUAGUUUUUGCCAACAAUUAAUAAAUUAAUGAAUUUGACUUAGAGACAUGUCUGUGAACAGGACAACACAAUCUUUGCUCUCAGCUACAGUGCAUGUGUCCGAGAAGUAUCUGCGCGAGGAAACUCUUUGUGCUGUAUCCCUUUAUACUAACUUUUGUCGGCAGUUGGGAGUGGGAAAUUUUGAUAAUCUACAUUUAUUGAAAUAUCAUUUUGCCUGUCAUUUUGAGGACAACUGUUUAGCAAAUGAUACCUCAUUUGCAACCUUGAUGCAACAGGAUUGUCUUUGAGAUUUUGAACUUUAUGGGAAGAUGUUUAACUCAGAAGAAUAACAGAAACCCAUUCGUAGGAGUCGCUUGAAGGAUCUCUUAGGAAGUGCACCUAAAUUUGAUAAAAUUGCCCCCUACACAAACACUUAGGGUUGAUGGAUUUUGAUUUCUUUCCAUUUGUGGGAGAAUCAUGUCUACAACUUGAUGUCACCCUGCUUCAAGGAUUUUAGAGUUCAUUAGUCCCUCAUUUUGACCUUAUUGGAGAAGGUUUUUCUAGUGUCAAAAGCCAAAUCAGUUCUAGCUGUUCUAGUUGGAAUUGAUUGGUUGGUGGAGCCUGAAUACUUUUAAGUGAUGAAGGGCUGUAGUACUUGGAUUGGGUUUGGGCCAUGUAGAUUGGGGUAUUGGAUUAGGAUCAGGCUAGUGGGGACCCAGGAUAUUAAGAGGUGAUGGCAGGUGAGAAAGGCCUGUUAAGAUGUAUAUCUGGGGAGGAUACUUUAUAUGUUUUACGCAAUAAAAAGUUUAUUUGUAGAUGGAUACAAUAAACUUGUAAAUUUUAUAAGAAGACAUUGCAUUUUUCAGAGUCUCAGGUGUUGGGUUUCUGUUCUGGCUUAUUCCCAGUGGCCUUCUCUAUAAAAUUCUAUAUCAUGUAUGGCAACCUUUAUCUUUAUGGCUCUGUGUUGGAGUAUCAUCCUCUAUUUGCAAUUAUGCUUGUGUGUGCAUUUUUCCAAUAACUUUUUAAAGAUCUCGGCUCUUGCUGAGAACACCAGCUCAGGCAUUGUGUUCAAUGAAGUAUUAGCAGCUGCAGGAAGGGAUAUAACCACCAAAGAUGUAUCCAGACUACGUGGUGGCUGGCCAGUACAGGAUGCAUUUUAUGUACGUUGUUCGUUGCACAUGAUAUUCAUUGUGAUAGUUAUGGCUCUAACAUCAUGUCUAUUUGAUUUAUGCAUAUGUGAUUAUGAAUGUAUUUGCUUGUUGUAUGUGUUUGUACAUUGUCUUGUGUGGAUGUUUUAGUUAUUUGGAGAUAUAGUAUGUAAAUGUAUUCAUUUGUGUAGGGGUGUGCGUGUGCGUGAGAGAGAGACAGAGAGCACUUUGAGCUUCAAAUGCAAUUGGUUAAUGUCUCUUUUAUUCAGUAUCAGAUGGAAAGAUAUCUUGAGAUUUAAACUCAUGAUAAUGAAUAAUCCUAUGUCUACAUGAUUUUACUUGUCUUUGCUGUUCUUUUCUCUGUUCUUUUAGCAGGGUUAUUUUCUCCUAGUACUAAUACCUAAAUAAUUACAAGUUUUUAUUUGCCAAUAGGCAUUUUCCCAGCAUGUUGUACUGUCAUAUACAUUCCUGGAGCAUGUGAUAGCUAUUGUGAAUCAGACCCCUCUUCUUAAAGGUGAUCUGGGUAGAGGAGAAACUCCCAGUCAUUCUGGUGAUAAUCAGCUGGAGGAUGUUUUACAGGCAGCUGUUGUCGCUCUGACGGCGUUCUUCAGGUCUAUAUCCAUUACAUUAUUCAACCUUUCUAUUUUAUAUUGCAGCUCUUUCACAUCUCAGUCCAUGUAAAUGCCAGAGGAGGUGGUAAAAUUGGAAGGAAGGCUGUUGAGCAGAAUUAUGCUUCAGUCCUUGCGACUCUGGUGCUCCAUUUUGGAAGUUGCCAUGGCUUAGCCAGUUUUGGUCAACAUGAACCACUGCAGUAUGUGUUAAUUGACUUCCACGUUCAUGGACAUUUUGAAUCUCAUGAGUUUAUAUUGAUAACCUUCUUUCUUUUAUUAUGUUCCAGUUCAAUGCUGAUAGCGUUUCAUGCAUUCUGUGAUUGUGUUGGUGAUCUGGAGAUGGGCAAGGUACUGUAGGUUUGGCUAGAAGUGGUAAUGUUCAUUCAUUUUUAACAUUUCCUUUUUGACCAUUUAGCUAAAAAGCAGCAAAUGUAUAUGCAGAUUCUUACUAGGGAUGGAAAACAUACUGAAAACGAGAAGUGGAUAAAUGUCGUUGGAGAUCUUGCUUGCUGCAUUUCCAUAAAAAGACCAAAAGAGGUUGAAUUAUUUACUGAAUUUGCCUCUCUCUCUCUCUCUCUCUUGGCAUUCAAAAACUACAAUUGCAGAGAUAUCUUCAAACAGUCAUGCACUUACUUGUCACUUCUUCUCUUGCAUUAUAAAAAUUGCAUACACUAUGAGCCAUCACUACAAACUUCAAACACCCCCACCACCUGAAAAAUGAUCCCAAAGGAAGAAAAACGGAAUAUAGUAAAGGAGAAUACUAACUGAUGGGAAAGAACAAAGAGCGUCUCUGUGCUUUUUAAAGGGUGAGUAGUGUGCUAACUGUUAUUAGUUUGCUGUUACACCCAGGUAAAUGUUUGCAGUUGUCUGGAGGAUUGAUCUGAAUGUCAAUUCCUGAAUCCCAGAUUUAAUUUAUGCUGAGUUUGUAUAGUCCUUUUGUCAUAUUUUUCCAUACUUAGAAGUGUUCUGUGACAAAAUGAUGCAAAUUGUGACUUGUCGACAAGUUUGACGUUGUUAUUUGUUUCCAGUCAAUAAGUGAUAGAAACAUGGGACAUCCAAAUUCUUUGUAGAAAAUGCAUCAUGAUGUCUAGUGAUCACCCAGUAGCUGUGGUAUAGAGUUGUGAAUGUAUUUUAAUUUGUAUGCUUAUGGAAUUCCUUGAAUCUGCCUGAUUCAUGUUGCUUAAAUGUCCCCCAUAUUCAGUCCAGGAAAUAUCACCAUCUGAUAUUUAGCGACUGAAAUUAUGAGAAUUUUUUUUGCACACCGAUUUUUUGGGCUAGAAAUUUCUUUAACUCUUCUAUCAAUUCGUCAGAGUUUCCAACGACAAUAUGGUUCUAAAGUCCGCUAGAACUGAAUGCAUAAGCAUUGCUAAGAUAGAAUGGUUCCAAAUGGAGUGUCUUACUUUCACUCGGCAUGGUGUUUCUGGGUGCCAAUUGAAAUAUAACCUGUGUUAUACAGAGUGGGAACUUGAUGGGCUGUAGUCUCCACAUGAGCUCGUGUAUAUUUGAGUACUAUAAUUUUUCUUUGACUAAAUCAUUUACAAAAGGCAAGUAUGACAAUAUUUUGGUAUUUGAGAAAAAUAUAAAAUGGAUGCAUACAUUAUGGAAUGAUUGCAUGUACAUGUUUAAAUCUGUAUAUGUUUGCUCUUGGAAAUCAAACAUACCAAAGAGAAGCCAAAAUGGUGACAUGAUGGUGGUCUUUCCCUCUCAAUGUUUUAAAAGAAGGGCAUUGAGUAUUGAGCAUAUAUUGGACCUACUAUUGUUAAAGUUAUUCUGUAGGUAUUGUAAUAUUUGUCAACUUAUGCUUGAGCUUGCAUCUAUCCGUUGGGUACUGCAAUCUUUUAAGGUUUUAAGUGCUUUGAGUAUACGAUCUCCAACUUGCAAGUUUUUGGUGUAGCAAUUAUCAAUUGUUGUUACAGAACUCCUAACUUUUCCAUACGAAUAUCUUACUCAGAUACCAUCAAUAUGUUUGAUUGUGAGCAAAUCUCUAGAAAGAUUUGAAAGAUUUCACAGGGAAGCAGCCGCUGCAGCAUUGUCAGAGUUUUUGCGGUAUAGGUAUGGCUGGUAAUUAUUAUUGGUCUCAGUGUGUGUAUUUUUUCGUUUUUUUUUUUGUUUGGAGGGAGGGGGGGGGCUUUCUGUGGGGCAUAUUUGUUAUGCUCACUUGGCUAGUUGCAAAUUUUAUUUUCUUUUUUUGGUUGGAAUUGGGCUGCUGAAUCAUUCAGAGAGCUGAAAAUGGUGAAAAAUGAUAUCAAGUUACCACAGUUUUUGAAAUUAUCAGGCCGAUUUUCAUAUUGGCUUGUAGCUCUUAAUCCUAGAUCCUACAUUGUUCUUCAAAUAUUUUUAGCUUGGAAUUUCUGAUUUCUGCAGUGAUGGCUUUGGUUCUCUAUUAGAGCAGAUGGUCGAAUUAUUAUCGCGGCAUGUAUCAGAUGAUUCUCCAACUGUUAGGCGCCUCUGUUUAAGAGGGCUUGUUCAGGUAAUAUUAUCUUCUUUUGUUUUGUUUUUUUUUUCCUUUUUAACUUUUUCUUGAAUUCUGAUUGCUUUCAUAAACAUUCAAUAGAAAAUCAGCUGCAAAAUGAACAAGUUUUUGCAAAAUCUACUUUUAUAAGUUGCCGUGGGACCAACUGAUUCUUUAGCAGUGCAUUUUACUGUUGCAUAUGUGGUUUAGAAGUAUGCUCAUUCUUGUGCGCUGUUUUUUGUCUAACCAGUUACUUUUACGACUUCAAUUUUGAUGUUAUAAUGCCCCUUGGCCUUGCAGAUGCCAUCUAUCCACAUACUUCAAUACACCACUCAAAUUCUGGGGGUAAUAUUGGCUUUACUAGAUGACCCGGAGGAAUCUGUUCAAUUAACUGCAGUGUCAUGCUUGCUAAUGGUGAUCUCCUCCGCCUUCUUAGUCUAUCUUUGACCGCUGUUACUGCUUCAUGCAUUUACUCUAUCAAUGCUUCCCCUUACUAGGUCCUUGAGUCAUCUUCUAAAGAUGCUGUGGAGCCCAUUCUUCUCAACCUUUCAGUUCGACUCCGUAAUCUUCAAGUAAGUUUUGAUUCUUGGAAUAUUAUUUCUCAUUUCUGUAGUCUACUUUCCGUGACUGACAGCAGGAUUCCAUUUAAAUUUGGAUUCAUGAUGUUUCGAAAAAACAUGAGAGUAGAAAGUUAGCAAGAUGAUGAUGCUCGGAUUUGUUAGUUUAUUGCUUAUGGCUGUGACUUAGAGAAAAAUAGUGGGUAGACUGAAAGCUAUCUUAAUUGUUGAUUCUCUGUGUUGGUGACAGAUAUGCAUGAACACAAACAUCCGUAGAAACGCAUUUGUUGCUUUUGGAGCCCUAAGUGGCUAUGCAGUUGGGUCACAUCAUGAGGCAUUUCUUGAACAGGUUGUUUCCUGACUCAAUGCACAAAUUGUUUGUUACAUAUUUGUAGUUAAAGGGAAUUAAAGCAUUUUUUCUGAGUUGAGUUUUACUAUGGUUCAACUUUUAAAGUAUAAUGGUCUGUCCUUCCUUAAAACUUGUUUGUCAUCGUAACUCAAGCUAUCAACUAUGCAUGUUUCUGACAUGGUACUUUUUUCCCCCACUAAAUUCUUGCUUUGCCAUCAAUUUACGGAAGAAUUUAUAUUUUCUUCGUACUGGAUAUUGAAAUAUCUUCUCAGGUACACGCUGUCUUCCCGCGUUUGGUUUUGCAUCUUCAUGAUGACGAUCUAGGUGUCAGACAGGCCUGCCGGGUAGAUAAAUAGUCAUCAACUCAGUGUAGUUUUCUUGGCUUGGAUAUUCUAAAAUCUUGAGCUUGUUUUUUCUUUUUCCAGACCACAUUCAGGUCUAUUGCUCCUCUAAUGGAAAUUGAGGGAGUUGUUGCCCUUUCCAAUACAAAUUGGUUUGGUUCUGAUCACAGGUACUUUUGCAUCAAUAAAAGAAGGAUGUUUCCUUUAAUAAUUGUUGAUUGAUGCCGGAUAUUAGACUGUAUUAGGAUAUUUUUGUGUUUGCAGAAGUGACUACGAAGACUUUUUGAGAGAUCUUGCCAAACAACUUAGUCAACAUUUGGAUUCACGUAUAGAUAGUUAUAUGGUAUCAAUAAUACAGGUUUGGAUAUUCCUUUGCUCAACAUGUUAAUUGAGUUUGGCAUUUUUGCUUGAACGUCUCUUAACCCACUCUGGAAAAAUUUCUCCUGUUAUGUGAGCACAGGUUCAUGGAUUUUCACUACUUGAUUAGGUCAUUAGACUGUUCAGAUUUCAUUUGAGUGCUAUAAUUGUGUCCUUUAUUGUUUACUUGUCCAAGGACAAACUUGUAGGAGGUUUUACAAUUAUCCUAGUGCUUGAAGAAGAUGUUAAGCGGACUCUUUUUUUUUUCUUUCAUAACUUUAGAUGUACUCUAUUUUACCUCAAAUUCUACUUGAUACUGAUCAGUAUAUUAAAAAGCUUUUUAAAUUUGGGGUAUUAACAUACAAUAAGACUGGAACAGAUGAUUUGAUCCAACCAUGUCCUAGACUUUGAUGGUGUGGUAUACAUUUCAAUAUCCUUGUAUGCAUAGGCUGUUUUCUGGACUGAACACAUUUCCAUUCAGCUUGAAUGGGCACUUAAUACGCAUUCUCAGACUAUAUUCUACACGUAUGAAAUAAGGAAGGCUUGAGAAAAAAGGGCUCGGCAUUAGAGUAUAAUUUGUACUUCUAAAAUUUGAAUGACUGAGUGAUGUUGAGUAAGAUUUGUUUAAUUAGCUUUAAUUUGUGCAGAGAUUAUUGACCAAAAUUAUCAAAUGCUGUGAUAUAUUCAAUAAAAUUGCAGAAAUCCUAUUAUAUUUUGGUUUGAAUUUUAAAAAAGCUAAAAAUAAUUUAGUAUUUAACAGAUGAAAGAGCUCAAAAUUUGAGCUGUUAUUCUUCUCAAAUUGAUGUGAACUCAAGCUCAAACAACUAAUUUCUGUUAUGAGCUGUGCUGAAGAGGAUUUUGACUCAAAAAAUGUUGUGAGCCGAAUUCAAGCUCAUGUUGAGUGAUAAUAUUCGAGGUGUUCAAGGUAUAUCAGGCGGAUGAGGUGCUCGUCUGAUCGGAUCAUUCGAAAAUUCAUUAAUAGUGUAAACUAUUGUUUUUCAUCUUUUAAAGCAUAUUGGAUAAGACGUGCUUAAACUUGACUUUUGAAAAUCAUUUGGUGUCUUGAACUUGUGAUGCAUAACUAAGGCUAACGGUGUACUGGACAGGCAAUGGAUUCUAGAAAUGCACCAUGUAUUAAAGAACUAAUUCACAGGGUUCAAUAAGCAAUCAAUAUUUCAUGUAAUGGUUACACUAUAGAUGUCAUUGAAGCUCAUGAGGUUCUGGAUAUGCAGGCUUUUGAUGCUCCAUGGCCUGUGGUCCAGGCGAAUGCUGUCUAUCUGUGUAGCAGCAUGCUUGCUCUCUCUGAGGAUCAAUGUAUAUCACCUCUCUAUUGUAACCAGGUAACUUCCAAUUUCCAAAUGACAAAUGUGCUAUUAUCUAAGACUUAUGGAAUCUGCAUGCUAAAAUUUGACUGGGCUUGUCUUCUCUUAGGUGCUUGGAAUGUUGAUCAGCAAGAUGAGUCGGUCAGCAGAUGCAAUUGUUAGAGCGACUUGCUCUUCGGCCUUGAGUUUGUUACUCAAAUCAGUUAACUUAGCCUCUUGGAAAGCCGUUCGGCUUGAAUGAGUGAUCUUGCCGAAAUCUGCUUGGUUUGUUUGAGUUGACUUGAUUCAGCAGAGCCACGAAACAGAGGACGUUAUGAUGUACAUGAUAGAAUAGGAAACUGUAAGUUGGUCAUAUGCUUCAGAUAAAGUAGGCUCAUUUUUAAAUGUAUUUGGAGAUCCCGCUUCACUUUGAUAGGUACAGCUGCUGUGUUGCAUUAGGGUUGAGGCACUGUUUUUUAAACACUUUCUGUGUUUACUGCUUGUAAUAUUGUAUCCAACAAAAAUGGAACAGAAAUCGAGAUGUCAUCUGUACAUUCCAUUACAAACAAACUUUAGCUAAGUUUGUAGUUUGCCCUUGCCAUACUAUGCUAGUAUUUCCUACUGCCAAUUUUAUAUGAUACGGAAUACUUUGGCUUCAUAACCCCUCGUUCGAAAUUGCUCAACAUUCACGAUCAUGAUUAACAUGGAUCUGUGGUUGUCCUGCGGGAGCACGAGGCUGUUGACUGAGUGAGUUUGUGCAUUUUGAUAUUUCAGAAGCCUUGAUUCUCGCAUUGAAACUUGUUAUUCAUUAUUUUUUUGCACAUAAGAUGUAUUUGGGUGGAGCUAUAAUCAAGUUGAGUUUUUGACUUUCAAGCUCGGUUCAUUAAAUUAUCGAGCGAGUUUGAGCUCAGCUCAGCUCAUCUAUUUAACAAGUUAGAAAUUGUGUUCGAGUUCGGUUAGUUAAAAUUAUCUUGAAUUCGAAUUCAAGUUCGAACUUAAGUCGUAUGGCAUGCAUGAAAAAGCUCAAAUAUGCUUAAAAGUCUUAUAGAAUUUUGCAAUUCAAAAAAUUUAAUCAACUUAAUGAGCCUAUUGAGCAAGAAAAUUUUCAUCGAAUAGAAGAAGAUUCCGAAUAUUUAAGCAAAACAAAAUCCUAGAUGGUCAAGGCAAGUUAUUAAGAAAAUUAGUAAUAGUAACUUGAACAAAUGUAAAAACGAAUUAUUUGUGAAUUGAGGUGAGCUUGGCUCAUUUAAAACGGGCUUAAUUUGAUGUUUGAUUUUUGGCUCAUUCAGUUAAAUAAACAGGUUGAAUUCGAGCUUAUAUGAGCCGAGUAAAGUUGAACCCAAGAAUAGCUCAGUUUGUUUAACAAUUAUUUUUUUAGUUCCGAGGCAAAAAAAUUUGGAUGGACCAAAUGGAGGCACUCGAGGCACUCUCAAUCCCUCCCCCUACAUCCAAGGAGGAGGGACUAACCUCCUGGAGGCUAGAACCCAGCGGUUAGAAUAUGGUUCCCUAUCUUCUAUGGAAUUCACAUAUUAUGUAAUAAUGUAUUUAUCGUGCAAUGUGUUUGAAAAAAGCAACUCCAUCUAUAAAAUCAUGCUAGACCCCUAUUACGUCAGCUGUUGGUCUGGCUUAGCUCUGCUCAUACUGUGCGAGACGGGAAUUCCCUGCUCUUAUUAUUGAUCAAGUUUUUCCAAUCAGUGGUUUCAAAAAACAGGGAAAAAAAAAAGACAAAGUUUGUCCAAUCCGUGUGACAAAUUAUCUGAUUCACUUCUUUGUUCGCAAACUUAAAACUCGGUCUUUUGCCCUCGCCGACUUUCUGAUUUAUUUCAUGAUAAUUAUAGAGACAUCUCGACAAGGAAAAUGAUUGAACUACAUAAGACAAACUCAAAACUCGCACUGGACAAUGCAUGAGAUAGAAUACGGUGGAUUGUCCAUCUUAUAAUGCAAGGUGAGGAUAAGCUCAUGCUGGCCAUGCACGAACGCGGCCGUGGUGGAAUUCGGAGGAUCUCAUCUGUGGCUGCUGUGCUGACUUCCCAUCCAUUUGUUUCUGGCCUUUUGCAGCUACAUCGCAAAUAUACAUACCUAAUUAAAUUAAAAAAGUGUCCUGACACUGACUUUAAAUUUUUUUUCACUGCCCUUUGUUGCUGGUUUUGGCUCAGCGGUUUCCUCGCGCGAAAGUCGACAGUAAAAGCAGCCAAAUGGCUGUCAGUCUUCUGGGCUUGAGGGGAGCACAUGGUUGACGGAAACGGGGGUAGGAGCGGUCAUUCUCACGAGCUGUUAAUGGCCAUGAUUUGGCCUCAACAAAUUGUACGGUCCAAAUCAUAAGUUGUGCAUCGAUUUUCACACCGCGUGUGGGACUCAUAAAUUUUUGUACUAAAAUUACACGUUGUGCAAAUAAAGUUACGCCGUGUGCAACCAAAGUUACGCGCUGUUGAAAAUGGUCAAAACCGUUUAAUUAGUUACAUUUUAGCUCAAGUGGUACCCGGCAUUCCAACUCAAAGACCUUAAAGGUCAAAGGGUUCGAGUCCUGGGGAGACCCCCUCCAAACACCACCAGGGAAUCCAGGCUCCCCUGCUCCCCAAGACGGUGGCGAGACGGACAAAUACACAAUUGGCCUCCACAAAAAGGCUGUAAAGUUCCAUAUCCUUCACUUUGCGUCUGUUUUCUAAUUUCUAAUUUAGUGUCCAAAGAAAUUACCUAAAGUCUCUCUCUCUCUCUCUAUAUAUUUUUAAUAAUGUUACGUAAAGGUAAUAACGUAAGCAUCAUUUUAGAGUAGCAAUUUGUGGUCGAACAAUUUAAUCCGAUACAGAAACACCUCUGAGGUCUGGUCCUUAAUGAAAGUUCCUUUCUCUUGGAUUUGUUAAUUGACAAUUCGAGAAGACGACAAAUGAUCAGAGUGUUUCUGGAAGCAACGGAAGAUUGAUCCGAAAAGUAUGAAUCACGCGAGCAAUGAUGAGCAGAUUCGUGUAUGUAUCAACCAUUUGAAAUUUAUAUUCAACUAUAGACAACAAGCAUCACGACACACGAAGACAAAUCCUAUGGCAGCAUAAUUGGACUGGACGAUUAUUAUUAUUAUCAAACCCCAAAAAAAAAAAAAAACAGAAAGAAAGAAGAAGUCUGGACGACCGGUUCUUAUCCCCUGCCGUGAUCAGUAAUGGCAAAUAUAUCCACAAUUUUCCGCAUCAUCAACCUGGAAUUUCCUUCUCCAUACCUUAUGUUUUUCUUUUUUUUUUUUGGUUUGGGUAAUCUGUAAGGUUUCCUUCUACACACUUGAUACGACGACCGAAGUUGAGACACAAUCAUAGCGGAGAUUUGGUCGAAGCAAAGAAACAAAUCAACAGAAAAUUACGUAGAACCUAGAAACUACCACACCUGUCAAUCAGUUUCUUCUGUCACAAUUCACGACGUGGAUACAAAUCCUUUAGGCUUCUUCGUAGGGGCAAGGGUGGGCCUGUAACCUUGCCUAGUCCCUUACAACACCGGCCCGGCUGAAUGAAUUUGAGAAGACCGCAAGAACUCUUAUCAAAAAACAGUACAGGAGUGAACAUUUUGGCCAUAUCUGUCUAGCUACUGCGCAGAUGCAACCGUAAUAGACUUGUCGAAUUCAUCACCGGCAAUUGUUGACUUUCUUGCCCGGCGCUUAUCACCACCAUCAACUUUCUUGAUAACCGGAAUCUAUGCCAAUUCCGCAUUUCCGACUUCACCCCACCGAAUUUUCUUGCCAUUGAUCCACGGUCGAUGCAUGUGUAACACAUUCGCUGGCCUUUCUCGUUGCAAAUUAACUAUGUCUACACGCCAAGUUGCCGAAAGCCUGAUGAUCAUGUUUAAUUAAUGGCACCAAAUGUGCAGGAUCUUCACUUUGUGCUGGUCCCUUUACUAGCGCAAGGCCACCUGAUCCCGAUGAUAGACAUGGCCAAGCUUUUCGCCGAACAUGGCGUUAGAGUAACCUUGGUUACUACUCCAAACAAUGCCCCCUCAUCAAAAAGAGCUAUUCAUCGGGCUCGGGAAUCAGGGCUCUCCAUUCAAGUGCUGGAAAUCCCGUUCCCCUCUACAGAAGUAGGGCUGCCACCAGGCUGCGAGAAUCUCGAUAGCGUGCCUUCCAGAGAUCUUCUAAGAAAAUUUUACACCGCACUGCAUAGUCUACAGCAGCCACUGGAACAGUAUCUCCAAGAACACAAGCAUCCUCCGAGCUGCAUAAUUUCAGAUAAGUGUAUGUCCUGGACGUCCCAAACAGCUCGAAAAUUCCAGGUUCCAAGAAUAAUUUUCCACGGAAUGUGCUGCUUCUCUCUAUUGAGUGCCCAUAACAUCAAGCUCUACAGGUCUCACCUUUCCGUUAGGUCCGCUGCUGAACCCUUUGUCAUCCCGGGAAUGCCAAUGCACGUCCAAAUCACGAAAGCCCAGUUACCAGGAUCAUUCGUUGCAUUGCCUGACCUGGAUGAUGUCCGGGACCAGAUGCGCGAUGCUGAAUUGAGCUCUUAUGGGGUGGUGGUUAAUACAUUUGCGGAAUUGGAGAAUUGUUGCGUGGAGGAAUACAGAAAGGCUACAGACAAAAAGGUUUGGUGCAUCGGACCUGUUUCGCUGUGUAACAAGCAUAAUUUGGACAAGUUUGAGAGAGGGAACAAAUCAUCCAUUGACGAAGAGCAAUGCUUAGAGUGGCUUGACUCAAGGAAGUCAGAGUCAGUUCUUUAUGCUUGCCUGGGCAGCCAGUGCCGGCUAGUUCCAGCCCAAUUGAUACAAAUCGGAUUGGGAUUGGAAGCAUCUAAUCAACCAUUCAUUUGGGUGAUUAAGACAGGAGAAAGAUUCUCCGAGUUGGAGCAAUGGUUAUUGGAUGAAAGGUACGAGGAGAGGAUCCGAGGGAGGGGAUUACUGAUUAAAGGUUGGGCGCCUCAGGUUCUUAUUCUGUCCCACCCUGCAAUCAAAGGAUUCUUGACACACUGUGGUUGGAACUCUACCAUAGAAGCCGUGUGCUCAGGUGUGCCAAUGAUAACAUGGCCUAUGUUUGCUGAACAAUUUCUCAACGAGAAAUUGGUUGUAGAAAUACUUAGGGUCGGUGUUCGAGUUGGCGUUGACGUGCCAGUAAGAUGGGGAGAAGAAGAGGAAGUUGGAGUACUAGUGACUAAAGAGCAAGUUGUAAAUGCUGUGGAAAGGCUAAUGCAUGAAGGAGAAGAAGGCAACGAUCGGAGAAUCAGAGCCAAAGGGCUUGGUUUGGCUGCAAAGAAGGCCAUGGAAGAUGUAGGGUCGACUAAUAUCAACGUAUCACUUCUGAUCCAAGAUAUUAUGGAGCAAUCCUUUAAGUUAGGAGAAGGGUAAAGAGCUGUAUUACUUGUUAGCAAUAAAACGUUUGCGAAAAACUCUCUUUGUUAUUUUCUUGUUAUAUUUCCUUUCUCAAGUUUAUAAAACAAGGUUACCAAUUUCGAACCCUCUGCGCUAUGAUUAAAGCAAGAAUAGGGAAAGGAAAAAAAACGAUGUUUUUGUUCAACUGAUGCUGAUUCUGCCAUAUCUUGAAUAACGAAUAUUUUUUAGCUGUCAAUUUUUGAAAAGAAGAAGCACUUAAAUCAAGGAUUCGAAUAAUUCUUUACUCUCCCAGAUGCAGACAUCAGAAUUAGGAAGCCAGAGCAACAUUGGCUAGUGCAUUUUAUUGUCAAUCCCGAGUUGUAAAACUCUUGCUAAGAAACUGCAGCCCGGUUCUAGAAUGGUGGGAGACUUGAUUCCAACCACAAUUUAGUUCGUUGGACCAUCUCUACCACUCUCUGCGU
rnacentral:lncRNA from 1 species